AUACAUGCAAGUUGAGCGCUGAAGGUUGGUACUUGUACCAACUGGAUGAGCAGCGAACGGGUGAGUAACGCGUGGGGAAUCUGCCUUUGAGCGGGGGACAACAUUUGGAAACGAAUGCUAAUACCGCAUAAAAACUUUAAACACAAGUUUUAAGUUUGAAAGAUGCAAUUGCAUCACUCAAAGAUGAUCCCGCGUUGUAUUAGCUAGUUGGUGAGGUAAAGGCUCACCAAGGCGAUAAUACAUAGCCGACCUGAGAGGGUGAUCGGCCACAUUGGGACUGAGACACGGCCCAAACUCCUACGGGAGGCAGCAGUAGGGAAUCUUCGGCAAUGGACGAAAGUCUGACCGAGCAACGCCGCGUGAGUGAAGAAGGUUUUCGGAUCGUAAAACUCUGUUGGUAGAGAAGAACGUUGGUGAGAGUGGAAAGCUCAUCAAGUGACGGUAACUACCCAGAAAGGGACGGCUAACUACGUGCCAGCAGCCGCGGUAAUACGUAGGUCCCGAGCGUUGUCCGGAUUUAUUGGGCGUAAAGCGAGCGCAGGUGGUUUAUUAAGUCUGGUGUAAAAGGCAGUGGCUCAACCAUUGUAUGCAUUGGAAACUGGUAGACUUGAGUGCAGGAGAGGAGAGUGGAAUUCCAUGUGUAGCGGUGAAAUGCGUAGAUAUAUGGAGGAACACCGGUGGCGAAAGCGGCUCUCUGGCCUGUAACUGACACUGAGGCUCGAAAGCGUGGGGAGCAAACAGGAUUAGAUACCCUGGUAGUCCACGCCGUAAACGAUGAGUGCUAGAUGUAGGGAGCUAUAAGUUCUCUGUAUCGCAGCUAACGCAAUAAGCACUCCGCCUGGGGAGUACGACCGCAAGGUUGAAACUCAAAGGAAUUGACGGGGGCCCGCACAAGCGGUGGAGCAUGUGGUUUAAUUCGAAGCAACGCGAAGAACCUUACCAGGUCUUGACAUACUCGUGCUAUUCCUAGAGAUAGGAAGUUCCUUCGGGACACGGGAUACAGGUGGUGCAUGGUUGUCGUCAGCUCGUGUCGUGAGAUGUUGGGUUAAGUCCCCCAACGAGCGCAACCCCUAUUGUUAGUUGCCAUCAUUAAGUUGGGCACUCUAACGAGACUGCCGGUGAUAAACCGGAGGAAGGUGGGGAUGACGUCAAAUCAUCAUGCCCCUUAUGACCUGGGCUACACACGUGCUACAAUGGAUGGUACAACGAGUCGCGAGACAGUGAUGUUUAGCUAAUCUCUUAAAACCAUUCUCAGUUCGGAUUGUAGGCUGCAACUCGCCUACAUGAAGUCGGAAUCGCUAGUAAUCGCGGAUCAGCACGCCGCGGUGAAUACGUUCCCGGGCCUUGUACACACCGCCCGUCACACCACGGGAGUUGGGAGUACCCGAAGUAGGUUGCCUAACCGCAAGGAGGGCGCU
rnacentral:rRNA from 1 species